rnacentral:lncRNA from 1 species
CGCAACAACGUGCGGCAAUCUAAGAGGAGGUGAACUUGGUGACAGCCUUGGUGCCCUCAGAGACGGCGUGCUUGGCGAGCUCGCCGGGGAGGACGAGGCGCACCGAGGUCUGGAUCUCCCGGGAGGUGAUGGUGGGCUUCUUGUUGUAGCGCGCGAGGCGGGCGGCCUCCUGGGCGAGCUUCUCGAAGAUGUCGUUGAUGAACGAGUUCAUGAUGGACAUGGCCUUGGAGGAGAUACCAAUGUCCGGGUGCACCUG